rnacentral:rRNA from 1 species
UACAGAGGGGGCAAGCGUUGUUCGGAAUUACUGGGCGUAAAGGGCGCGUAGGCGGCCGCCUAAGUCAGACGUGAAAUCCCUCGGCUCAACCGGGGAACUGCGUCUGAUACUGGGAGGCUUGAAUCCGGGAGAGGAAUGUGGAAUUCCAGGUGUAGCGGUGAAAUGCGUAGAUAUCUGGAGGAACACCGGUGGCGAAGGCGGCAUUCUGGACCGGUAUUGACGCUGAGGCGCGAAAGCCAGGGGAGCAAACGGG